UCCCUCUAAGUAUUGCAACAGGAGAGUUUCCAGUACUCUACCAGUCUCAACUAUGGGAGGGAGAGUCAAGCAGGGGCAUAGCCAUUCCAUUCCUAGGUUGGCCAGUGCCUAGAGGAUGGAAGGCAAUCUGCUACAAGU